UGUUACGAACUGCUUUUUUCGGUGGCAGUGCCGCUAGCUCAGUCUUUUCUCAGGGCAGAGUACCCCUAAUGCCACAGCUCGCAACAUAAAAUCGAUAACUUCACGGUCUCACAUUACUAAACUAUCGGUCAUCACUAAGACCAUAACGUAAACAAAGCAAAAAUUUACAAAUAUUGACGGGAAAAUGGAUUACAUUUGGUGGCUAUCGAUGUCCUAGCCAAGCGCUCCCACCCAACCAUGGGUGCCCUAGAGGUGCUGCAGGGCACCACCCAUACUCAGUCGGCAGGAGCCCCCUCCUCGCGACUACAGCGGUUCCAUCUCCCCCACUGGGAAAGUUUACUCACACAUUGUGGGGAUUACAAAGGUUUAAUAAAUAUCCCUUUAAGACCGAAACCUGGCCGCCGUCUUCAACAUUUACGCGGUCAAAGCAGAGGAUUUUUGUUUUGCUGGAAAAGGGUACAGGCGCCGCGGAAACUAUGCUCUACCAGUCAUGUAUUGGUAGAGCUCGCAUGGAAACGCGGCCCUCAAAGGAACAUACGCGAUGCGCGUGUGUGUGGUCACCUAAUCCUGAGGAGCUCCAAGGGAAAAGAAGGGACAGGCCAAAAAGGCAAACAACGAGGACAAAUAAGGCUCUCGGGACUAACUCCGGAUAAAUUCACAAACAGGGAACCACUAUUGGGCCGGGCCUGGAGGCAAUGACAGCCCGGGCGGAAGGCUUCUCGCCGGAGGCCAGCAGUGAUCCGGAUCUCCACACGGGAAAACGGCGCUCUCCGGUGAGUUAUGCAAUGGCAGUCCGAGAUUCGGCUGCCAGACAAAUGGCGAUCCUUCUCAGCGCCGCAAUGCGACCGCUGGAAGUUCCCGAGAGGAGGAUGACGCGGUACGCCGGAACGGACUCACCGGGAAAUGUGGACGUCGUCGUCGACUGGGAAAGGCUCCUCUUGCUGGUCGCUGAUACGGGUCGAACGGACACCGUUUGCUGGGCAGCCAAGUCGGACUCGCAGCUGCAUCUGCCUUGAUUGUUGGACAGUAUGGCCGCGACUAUCACGAUAUCUGCUGAUCAUCGCCCCCCGCCAUAUUACAUGGCCUCUCUCAGCAUUGGGUCAUUGGAUACAUGGGCCGUUUGAAGUAAUCCCAGAGCGAACCGGGAUUAAUCUUCAAAUGGCCAGAUCGCCCGCCAGACUCAUCCCGCUGCUGCAGCUAUCGACCUAACCUAUCGAUAACGUCGCUCCCACUCGACUCCAAUUGCAACAAACAAAUUAUAGCUUCGGUGUUUUUUGACAUAUUAUAUUUUACUAUUAUGGGGAAUAU